rnacentral:rRNA from 1 species
UACAGAGGGCCCAAGCGUUGUUCGGAUUCAUUGGGCGUAAAGGGUGCGUAGGCGGCGCGGUAAGUCGGGUGUGAAAUCUCGGAGCUUAACUCCGAAACUGCAUUCGAUACUGCCGUGCUUGAGGACUGGAGAGGAGACUGGAAUUUACGGUGUAGCGGUGAAAUGCGUAGAUAUCGUAAGGAAGACCAGUGGCGAAGGCGGGUCUCUGGACAGUUCCUGACGCUGAGGCACGAAGGUCAGGGGAGCAAACGGG